rnacentral:rRNA from 1 species
AUUGAACGCUGGCGGCAGGCCUAACACAUGCAAGUCGAGCGGAUGAGGGGAGCUUGCUCCUGGAUUCAGCGGCGGACGGGUGAGUAAUGCCUAGGAAUCUGCCUGGUAGUGGGGGAUAACGUCCGGAAACGGGCGCUAAUACCGCAUACGUCCUGAGGGAGAAAGUGGGGGAUCUUCGGACCUCACGCUAUCAGAUGAGCCUAGGUCGGAUUAGCUAGUUGGUGGGGUAAAGGCCUACCAAGGCGACGAUCCGUAACUGGUCUGAGAGGAUGAUCAGUCACACUGGAACUGAGACACGGUCCAGACUCCUACGGGAGGCAGCAGUGGGGAAUAUUGGACAAUGGGCGAAAGCCUGAUCCAGCCAUGCCGCGUGUGUGAAGAGGGUCUUCGGAUUGUAAAGCACUUUAAGUUGGGAGGAAGGGCAGUAAGUUAAUACCUUGCUGUUUUGACGUUACCAACAGAAUAAGCACCGGCUAACUUCGUG